CAUCCAUGCAAAGAAUAUUAAGAAUUGAAUUUCAUUGGCUGCCAUGGGAUUUCCAUUAUAAAGUUAACGAAGACCUGUGCUAAAUUAACUGAUCAAAUGGGUUUUCUUGUUAUAUUUUAUUUGUCGAGCCAGGGAAUCUCAUGAAAUUCUACCAGUGCAAUUCUGAUAGGAAUUAAACCAAGCAUUUUACAAUUAUGGAUCUUAAUCGUGCUUUUUAUUUUUUUAUUUUUUUGUACAAUUUCUAUUUCUAACUUCAAGUUCAACAUCAUCAUUUUCCUCAUAAACAAUAUUUAUUAGAGGCAGAUAUAUGAUUAAAUAGAAGAAGGAAAAGAAUGAUUACAACUUCCGUAUUUGACCGCUUUGAGCACAUACUUCGGCUGUGGCUUCCUCUUCCUCUUUGGUCAAUUCCGUGAUUUUUUUCAGGAAAAUAUUUGAUUGGUGUUAUGCCAGAUAUCUUCAGGGUUAUGCACUGAUCUGUUUUGGCCUUGAAGGUUUCUACCUGCGCCGUCUCUAUCAUUGAAUUCAGGUUUAUAGAUUAUUUCAUUACCUUGUGACGUUGUACUUCUUUUUUCUUUUUUAUUUAAAAAAAAAAAAUUAUCUGUGAAGCAUAUGCGCGCGUCAAGUCUUGAUUUGAAAAAUUAAUUAGCAAUUUCUGAUUCUAAAAUGUUAGCUGAAAUAAUAGUAUUUUUUUAGUUGUGUUAUCAUUUUGAUUUAAAAGCAUUUACUGAUGCAAAAUCAUGAAUUUGAUUAUUCUGGGUUUGUAACUUUGUAUAAUAUAAUUUUAUCUUGUGCUUCUUGCUUUGAUAUCUCUUGGCCAAUAUCGAGUGCUCCUGAUGCUUGGCUUGAUGUGGUUGAACGUUAUUCGGAUGACAAUAACAAGACAGUGAAGUGAUUUCAUAUAUAAUUUUGCUCAGAUUUUUACAUUCUUGUUAUUUGAUACCUAUUUUAACUUCUAAGCAUUUUGUGGAUUAAUUGCUACUAGGUGUCUUAAUUUGGGAUCAUAUAAUUAUAUUGGGUUUUUCUGCAGCCAGAUGAAUAUUACAUGCCAUGUGUUAUUGAGUGGUUGAAUCGGUUUUGUCCGAGUAUUUGUAAUGCUCGUGUUGAUGGAGGUAUGCGAUUUCUUUCUGCAGUAAGUUCAAUCCUCUUCAUUCUGAUAUUUGGUAUUCAAGGAGAAUUUCUUGAUCAGGACUUCGACAGUACUGAACUAGAGGAGUAUGUUGCAAACUUUGCUGGAAAGCCAGCUGCCCUGUUUGCAGUAUAGAGUACAUGACAAAUUCUGCCAUCUUUCCUUCCUGAUUGGGAAAGUAUGCAUAUAACCUUUAUUACGAGCAUGUUAAUCUCCUACUAUCAUGUAUGAAUUGCUUAUUUCCGCCAAUUUAUCGAAUAGAGAGGAUUUACAAUUAGCGAUUCAUUGAACCACAACUACUCAAUUGUCAAUGGUGCUCGAGGACCGGACAAUUCGAGUUUUACAACAUAAUAAUAAGUUUUAUUUCUAUGUUGGUUUCUGAAAGAAUAUUCCAGGCUUCAUAUGCCUAUAAAAUGUUUGCUUUCUUUGUUUUAGCACCAUCUCACUUUGAGAAAUUUUCAAGAGAUCAAAUUGCCCAGGGACAACCUAGGACGCACAGACCAUGGAAGGAGAUAUAGUCGUUGACAAGGGUGUAUAUGGUAUCGAAGGGCAAGUCUGCAGACUUCCUGAGAUUGCGGCCAUAUGCAAGAUAUAUAAGGCAUAUUUUAUUUGGACGAAGCUCACAGCAUUGGAGCUGUUGGAGAAACAGGAAGAGGUGUUUGUGAACUCUUAGGUGUGGAUACUGCUGAUGUGGAUAUUAUGAUGAGAACUUUUACAAAAUCAUUUGGAUCAUUUGGUGGAUAUACUGCUGGAUUAGGAGCUUAUACAAUAUCUCGAGUACACCUCUCUGCUCAUCUAUGUGCAACAUGUAUAUCACCUCCAGGUGCACAAAAAUUUGUAUCUUCCAUAAAAGUUAUUCUUGGAGAAGAUAGUUCCAGUAGAGGGGGCUCAGAAACUUGCUAGAAUAUGUGGAAACAACUUUUUCAGGUCAGCUUUGCAGAAAAUGGGUUUUCAGGUUCUCGGAGAUAAUGAUUCUCCUCAAGUGUUUGAAACAGAAUAUGAGUUGUUUAGUUUGUAUCUGGUUUAUUGAUGUUAUGGAUACAAAUUGUGAUUCCCACCAGUUGCUGCUUUAUAAUCUGAUAGUUUGAUGGCUAAUACUAGUAAUUAAAAUCAAUGAUGUCAUUUUAAGUUCAUUUUUACAUUGAUAGGAAUCCCCAUUCAUUCCUAGAUUCCCAUCACUACUGAUUGAUUGCCCCUACCUAACUACAUGGCGGUGGUCUAGGGUGCACAAUAGCUAGAGCAUGGGAGAAUGAAGAAUAACGAUUUCAGCAAGAGCUGCCAGAUGGACUAAUGUUGAAAGUCUGGUGACUACUAGAGUAGAGUUGAGUCAAAAAGUAUGAAUUGCAGGUGGCUGUAGUUACAUUUGCUUUUCCAGCUAACCCUCUAUUUUUAGCUUGGGUGCGAUUUGCACUUCUGCUUCUCAUAACAAGGAAUAGCUUCUGAAAGCCUUCAGAGGUAACAAGUCUGUCAAUAGAGACUUUAGUGUCUUAACAUUCUAGCUCCUGAUAACUUCUGUGCUAGACUGAAGGUCUCUGCCCAUGAAUAUAGUUUGGUAACUUGUUGAAUAUCAUGUUUGCUGAUGGAGAAUACAUGAUCAUUAUUAGACACAUAUUAAUCUUAAAACUAGGUACUCAAUCGAACCAAGCCUAGAAACUGGUGAUAGCAAAGAAACUGCUGAUCGUGCAAAUGUUAGAUUGUCUCAGAUCGCCCUUCAGAGGAAACUUGUCUAAAACUAGCUAUAGUGAUAUAUCGUUUGGCACUGUCACUUUUAGGCCGUGACAAAGGAUGAAUUAGCGCUGUAAUAGAUGUUUUCAGUACACAUUAGACAACUUUGAUGCUGUUUGGGAUGCCAAUAAAAAUGACUCCUAUCUA